UACGGGGGGAGCAAGCGUUGUUCGGAUUUACUGGGCGUAAAGGGCGCGUAGGCGGCCACCGCAAGUCGACUGUGAAAUCUCCGGGCUUAACUCGGAAAGGUCAGCCGAUACUGCGGGGCUAGAGUGCAGAAGGGGCAACUGGAAUUCCUGGUGUAGCGGUGAAAUGCGCAGAUAUCAGGAGGAACACCGGUGGCGAAGGCGGGUCUCUGGGCAAUAACUGACGCUGAGGAGCGAAAGCGUGGGGAGCGAACAGG
rnacentral:rRNA from 1 species